rnacentral:rRNA from 1 species
GAUGAACGCUAGCUACAGGCUUAACACAUGCAAGUCGAGGGGCAGCGCAGUGUAGCAAUACAUGGGCGGCGACCGGCGCACGGGUGCGUAACGCGUAUCCAACCUUCCCGUUACUCUCGGAUAGCCUUCCGAAAGGGAGAUUAAUACGAGAUGGUGUUGAAAUUCCGCAUGUUAUUGAAACUAAAGAUUUAUCGGUAUCGGAUGGGGAUGCGUGACAUUAGAUAGUAGGCGGGGUAACGGCCCACCUAGUCUACGAUGUCUAGGGGUUCUGAGAGGAAGGUCCCCCCACACUGGAACUGAGACACGGUCCAGACUCCUACGGGAGGCAGCAGUGAGGAAUAUUGGUCAAUGGUCGGAAGACUGAACCAGCCAAGUAGCGUGAAGGAUGACUGCCCUACGGGUUGUAAACUUCUUUUGUUGGGAAUAAAAGACGCUACGUGUAGCGUUCUGCAUGUACCUUACGAAUAAGCAUCGGCUAAUUCCGUGCCAGCAGCCGCGG